rnacentral:rRNA from 1 species
GCAGCAGCCGCGGUAAUACGAAGGGUGCAAGCGUUAAUCGGAAUUACUGGGCGUAAAGCGUGCGCAGGCGGUUUGUUAAGACAGAUGUGAAAUCCCCGGGCUCAACCUGGGAACUGCAUUUGUGACUGGCAAGCUAGAGUGUGGCAGAGGGGGGUGGAAUUCCGCGUGUAGCAGUGAAAUGCGUAGAUAUGCGGAGGAACACCGAUGGCGAAGGCAGCCCCCUGGGCCAACACUGACGCUCAUGCACGAAAGCGUGGGGAGCAAACAGGAUUAGAUACCCCGGUAGUCCCUGUCUCUUAUAC